rnacentral:rRNA from 1 species
AGCAGCCGCGGUAAUUCCAGCUCCAAUAGCGUAUAUUAAAGUUGUUGCAGUUAAAAAGCUCGUAGUUGAAUUUCGGGGUUCUACCGUUGGUCGGGCUUUGUCUGUACUGGUGUGUAGAAUUUCUACCUUCUGGGGAACCAUCAUGUUAUUAAUUUAACGUGGUGGGAAACCAGGACCUUUACCUUGAAAAAAUUAGAGUGUUCAAAGCAGGCUUAUGUCUGAAUACAUUAGCAUGGAAUAAUAAAAUAGGACGGUGGUCCUGUUUUGUUGGUUUCUGAAUCACCGUAAUGAUUAAUAGGGAUAGUUGGGGGCAUUAGUAUUCAAUUGUCAGAGGUGAAAUUCUUGGAUUUAUUGAAGACUAACUUCUGCGAAAGCAUUUGCCAAGGAUGUUUUCAUUAAUCAAGAACGAAAGUUAGGGGAUCGAAGACGAUCAGAUACCGUCGUAGUCUUAAACCAUAAACUAUGCCGACUAGGGAUCGGACGAUGUUUAAUUUUUCUUGACUUCGUUCGGCGCCUUACG